rnacentral:lncRNA from 8 species
CUGUAAAGUCCAUGGAGAAUAAGAGUACCUCCUCCCAGCUGCCCACUGCUCUGAGCCUAGGAAACACUGUUACCACCGAUAAAUCCACUAUAAUUGAGCAUUUCAAUAAGCAUUUCAAUACGGCUGGCCAUGCUUUCCACCUGGCUACCCCUACCCCGGUCAACUGCCUGGCACCCUCCACAGUAACCCGCCAAUGCCCCUACCAUUUGUCCUUCACCCAAAUCCAGAUAGCUGAUGUUCUGAAAGAGCUGCAAAAUCUGGACCCAUACAAAUCAGCCAGGCUAGACAAUCUGGACCCUCUAUUUCUAAAAUUAUCUGCCAAAAUUGUUGCAACCCCUAUUACUAGCCUGUUCAACCUCUCUUUCGUAUCGUCUGAGAUUCCCAAAGAUUGGAAAGCUGCCACGGUCAUCCCCCUCUUCAAAGGGGGUGACACUCUAGACUCAAACUGCUACAGACUUAUAUCUAUCCUACCCUGUCUUUCUAAGGUCUUCGAAAGCCAAGUUAAUAAACAGAUUACCGACCAUUUCGAAUCCCACCGUACCUUUCUCCACUAUGCAAUCUGGUUUCAGAACUGGUCAUGGGUGCACCUCAAGGUCCUAAACGACAUCAUAACCGCCAUCGAUAAGAGACAUUACUGUGCAGCCGUAUUCAUCGACCUUGCCAAGGCUUUCAACUCUGUCAAUCACCACAUUCUUAUUGGCAGACUCGACAGCCUUGGUUUCUCAAAUAAUUGCCUUGCCUGGUUUACCAACUACUUCUCUGAUAGAGUUCAGUGUGUCAAAUCGGAGGUCCUGUUGUCCGGACCUCUGGCAGUCUCUAUGGGUGUGCCACGGGGUUCAAUUCUCGGGCCGACUCUCUUCUCUGUAUACAUCAAUGAUGUUGCUCUUGCUGCUGGUGACGACACCAUUCUGUAUACUUCUGGCCCCUCUUUGGACACUGUGUUAACUAACCUCCAGACAAGCUUCAGUGCCAUUCAACUCUCCUUCCGUGGCCUCCAACUGCUCUUAAACGCAAGUAAAACUAAAUGCACGCUAUUCAAUCGAUCACUGCCCGCACCUGCUCGCCCGUCCAGCAUCACUACUCUGGACGGCUCUGAAUACGUGGAUAACUACAAAUACCUGGGUGUCUGGUUAGACUGUAAACUCUCCUUCCAGACUCACAAUUAGCAUCUCCAAUCCAAAAUGAAAUCUAGAAUCGGCUUCCUAUAUUGCAACAAAGGCUUCCUAUAUUGAAUCAUGCUGCCAAACAUAUCCUCGUAAAACUGACCAUCCUACCGAUCCUCGACUUCGGUGACGUCAUCUAUAAAAUAGCCUCCAACACUCUACUCAACAAACUGGAUGCAGUCUAUCACAGUGCCAUCCGUUUUGUCACCAAAGCCCCAUACACUACCCACCAUUGCGACCUGUUUGCUCUCGUUGGUUGGCCCUCACUUCAUACUCGUUGCCAAACUGAUAAGAGAAUUAUCUAAUAAAGGUAAAUUAAUCAAUAAUCCAUUAUUAAUUAGUAGUUAUGUAGCAUGGGUAAUGAAUAAUUAAAGUACUGAACGUUAGUUCCAUAAGGUCUAGUAGAGACCCUGAAGGGAGAGAAAUGUGUGUGUGUGAUUAGUGGGCCUAAGGGAACCGUAGACAUGUGUGUGUGUGUGUAGAGACUGGGAGUAGCCUUCAAGGUUCUCCUAAUCUCGGGGGAAAGGAAC